rnacentral:misc_RNA from 1 species
GACCCUGGAUCAGUAUUACAGCCGCGAUGCACCUAAUUGACAGGAAGGAACCAUCUUUAUACUUUCAAGUCUCUUGUGCAAUUCCUUGGUGCAAUACAUUGGCUUUCCUCUUUGUGCAUCUCCUUUUAGCUCAACAAUCAACGAGUUCCCAAAACAAAGGUUCUCCAGUUUCUAAAAGUCAAUGCUAUUUCUUUGGGAACCAGUCACAUCUUGUAAUUUAUCACCUGUUGUGUUGUGUGAGAUGCUGCAGCGUAUAUUGGUUUUGUUUAAAUUCCAAUAACAUUAUAGGGGGCUUCUAGGUUUUAUGCUCAGCCGUUUUUAUGUAUGAAGCAAUUUUAUUGUUUUUCAUGGAC